AUUGAACGCUGGCGGCAGGCCUAACACAUGCAAGUCGAGCGAGCGGCGGACGGGUGAGUAAUGUCUGGGAAACUGCCUGAUGGAGGGGGAUAACUACUGGAAACGGUAGCUAAUACCGCAUACCAUCAGAUGUGCCCAGAUGGGAUUAGCUAGUAGGUGGGGUAAUGGCUCACCUAGGCGACGAUCCCUAGCUGGUCUGAGAGGAUGACCAGCAACACUGGGACUACGACACGGUCCAGACUCCUAGGGGGGGCAGCAGUGGGGAAUAUUGGACAAUGGGCGCAAGCCUGAUGCAGCCAUGCCGCGGGUGUGAAGGGGGCCUUCGGGUUGUAAAGCACUUUCAGCGGGGGGGCGUUACCCGCAGAAGAAGCACCGGCUAACUCCGUGCCAGCAGCCGCGGUAAUAC
rnacentral:rRNA from 1 species